GUCCACGCCGUAAACGAUGGAUACUAGCUGUUGGGGGCAACUUCAGUGGCUAAGCGAAAGUGAUAAGUAUCCCACCUGGGGAGUACGGGCGCAAGCCUGAAACUCAAAAGGAAUUGACGGGGGCCCGCACAAGCGGUGGAGCAUGUGGUUUAAUUCGAUGAUACGCGAGGAACCUUACCAAGGCUUAAAAUGUAGACUGACCGGUUUGGAAACAGACCUUUCGCAAAGACAGUUUACAAGGUGCUGCAUGGUUGUCGU
rnacentral:rRNA from 1 species